GUAGGGUGCAAGCGUUAAUCGGAAUUACUGGGCGUAAAGCGUGCGCAGGCGGUUUUGUAAGUCUGUCGUGAAAGCCCCGGGCUUAACCUGGGAAUUGCGAUGGAGACUGCAAGGCUUGAAUCUGGCAGAGGGGGGUGGAAUUCCACGUGUAGCAGUGAAAUGCGUAGAGAUGUAGAGGAACACCGAUGGCGAAGGCAGCCCCCUGGGUCAAGAUUGACGCUCAUGCACGAAAGCGUGGGGGGAGCAAACAGGAUUAGAUACCCUGGUAGUCCACGCCCUAAACGAUGUCUACUAGUUGUCGGGUCUUAAUUGACUUGGUAACGCAGCUAACGCGUGAAGUAGACCGCCUGGGAGUACGGUCGCAAGAUUA
rnacentral:rRNA from 1 species